rnacentral:lncRNA from 1 species
UCAGGACCCUGCAUUGCCACCUGCUGAUCUGCACAGCUGAGGAUGCACCACGCUCCCCUGCGUAAUUCACACCCUUAGGAGCACCAGGGUCAAAGCAGAAGGAGCUGCGAGCUCUUGGCUUCAAGGAAGCAUCGAUUGAAAUCCCUGCAAGGCCAACUCACCCUCUGGUCACUCCAAAAUCAAAUCGCUUCAGCCCAUGUUCAGCCCGUGGCUGCAGAGCUGCUGGUACCUGGGGUACCCCUGUGCCCCCCCUGUGCCGUGGCUGCUGCCACCUGCCCUGGGCAGCUGCGUUGAAUUGAGUCUGGAAGUAUUUAGGGGAGGGGAAAAGUGCUACGGAAAGUAAUAUUUAAUUAGCCCCGAGAGGACCAUUAAUUGGCAGCCCUAAUUUGAAGUCUUGCCAGGGUCUGUUGUAUUCCUACCCACUUAGCAUAAAGUGGGUCUAGAAGCUAAUUUGUAGGUCACACUGAUUGGGUUGCCUGUGUAGGGCUGCUGAGGGGAGGGGGCUGUGGCUGGGAGGCUGGUACCAUAUGCCACCUACCCCAUCAGCUUCCCUUCCCUCUGAAAAUGGUGACAACGCCAGCACCCUGCUCCUGGCUUUGCUUUGGAAUCCCUGAGGUUCCUGGGUCAGUCCCAGCUGGGGGCUGCUGUCAGCCUGCAGCGAGGGCAGCGGUUCAUGGUCUUGUGCCAGCUCUCCCAGGGACUUGCUCCUGGACCACAGGGAGAUGGCUCUUCCUUAAAGGCACACAGCCUUUGGUGACACCGCUACCAUGGAACCGCAGGAAAGGAGAGCUGGAGGGGACUUUAAAAGGAUUCAUAUAAAUUGCUUUUCUGUUGCAAAAUUGCCAGCAAUUCCACUCAGCGUGAACCCGGCAGCGAGGCAUCCUGGGAUUCCUCCCUGCCUCCUCCCUCCAC